UGUGGGCAGGAGCCGCGAGGCGGGGCGGUACGGAAGCGUCUGUGGGGGACGCGGGAGCGCGGCGGUGCUUUGUAGAGUGACCCGCGGUAAAGACUAAGUGAAAUCCUCCUCCCUGCCAAGCGCAGGAGGUGCGUUCCCUGAUGAAACAGCACGUUUCAAGCGCUUGGGCAAGGCUGCCCCGCUCCUUGGGGUGCUUCUCCCGACACAAAAGACCAGCUGGAGAGCAAUGAGUGUCCCAGAUUUUCUGCUCCAACCAAAGGAGACUCCAACUCUCCAAUUCCAAUUUUGCUGGAACUUCGGAGGAUUGCUGCUAUUCAGAACAACGAGCAAGGCUGGGGUCCUGGAGCCCUCUGCUGGGGUCUGGUUCUGCUAAGGCAGCCUCUGGCUUGCCUUCUGGGGAGUGUUCAGGAGCCAUCUUGAUGAAUUCCAAUUCAGAGUCUUCCUGACACAGAGGAUGCAGAGGUCAAAGAAUGCCCCGAGCAGCACAGUAAGAGACCACGUGGAGCACGGAUAAAGAUGGCAAAGCGGCCUCAUGAGAACUCCGUGUGGCCUGCCCAGAUCAACCAGAAAGUUAAUGGCAGAACUGUGCAAAGGACUUUCCUGAUGGAACCACAAGUGCCUGCAUACAAGAUUGGAGCUGAGCAGUCAUGCUUGGAUUGGAACUACACUCAGCACCAGACCAAACUCAGUACUCCCUCUUACUGGGAUGACGGAAUAUCUUUUGGAGGAAAAGAAGCUUGGCUCGAACACCUUGGAGAGAGUGACACCUCUGACACGCUGUAUGAACCAAUCAUUGAUAUAGAAUGUGAACAGACACCUGUUGUCCGCCCUUUGAAGCAAGACACAUGACUAUCUGACCAGUCUCCCACUCCUUUGUGCAAAAUGGCCAGGCACUUUAAACUUUGCUGUCAGCAUGGUUCACUGUAUCACCAGGCAAGUAUGCCAGGAUGUGUCUCUCUCUUUUCACGAUAGGCUGGGACCCCACUUCCCUGGCAUUGGUUGUGACUGUCAGGGCCAGACAGUGGAGGAGACAUCCAGUAGAUCUGUUGCAUUCAGGACCCAGCAGAGCUUACCAUCCCAGUCCUAAUCCAUUUCUUCAUUGCCGUUCUGUGUAAAUGGUCCCAGCCUCCCCUUACUGAGGUAGCGGCUGAUAUGCGGAAGCUCAGUCAGGCAUCUACGGUGCUAGACUGCUCUUGAACUGAGACCUAUUUCUCUCACUGGGAGAUAGUGCUCCUGGGAUGAUGUCUGCUUGGGAGAAGGCCCUCCAGGGUAGCUCCCGGAGUCCUGCCACACAGGCCCGUGUCCUCACAGGGUAGCUUAUACAGCCACCUGCUAUGGAACUCAUGUUCUAUAAGGAACAUGAGGAAAGAUCAUCUUCCAAGUGUACGAUAUGUGUGUCUGGAAGGAGCGAGUUCGUCCUCUACCAACAAUCCUGUUGACAUCCAAUGGUGUUUCAGAGGAAGAAACUAUCUCAUCCAAGGAAUCAGACUUUAGCCCUGGAGGAACAGCUGCUUUGAGCUCUUCUCAGGCCUGGUGCAAAUCCUUUGCCCGGUGUCUUGCACUGCUGUGAUGCUGCAUGGAGAUCGUGUCCUUUCUCAUCCCGAGAGAGGGGAUUGUGUGGGGUUUUUCCCAUUUACUUUCUGAAGCAAUUUAUCCCUUUGAUGGAAAGGGUUGUCUUCUUCCCCACUCCAGAUCCAGCUAAAUGCUUGAGGUUUAAUGAUGCAUGAAGAGCAAGGUAGAUGUUACAUCCAUGAUCAGACAGCUCCACUACAUAUAUACUCCGUAUGGGAAGCCACACAGCAAACGAUGUACAAAGCACAAGGUUCUGACUUGGUGUUACCACAGACCUCAAAGCGGACUGUUGAUUCUGGAGUAUAUACUGCAGGUGAAGUCCAUCUCAGUAUUGCAGUGGAUUGAUUUAAAUAGUUUCACUGCCAGCCAAAAGUCUAAGCACCAUAGCAUGUUUAUGAGUUAUUCUAAUGCAUAGAAACACAAUUAUGUGGUCUAAUACAUUGGGAUGGACUCUUAGUGUAUAGUAUCAAUACAAAUCAGCGCAGGGCCUCAAAUACU